GUCUAUUAAAAAACACAUAUUUAUGUUAGGUUUUGAUUAAUUCUUCAAACAGGACAUUACCAUAGCUCACUAGUCUACACAUUAGUCAAGUCUCUUCCUGAGCACCUGCCCUUUGCAAAGUACAACAACAAACGGACCCAAUUGUGUAAAGAAUCUCCUCCCCAGAGUGUCUGCUAAGCUGGAUGUGGCUACUAUUUCAGACAUCACAGAGGUCAGAUCCCAAGGCACCUUUGUCAGGACCAUGUAGGGGAGCAUUGUUUUGAAAAAUGCAUCAAGUGGCAUAAACAACAAUAAAAAUGUAAAGGGGACUAGGGAAAGUAAUACAAACCACACGGAGGACCUGAGGCUACUUUAACACACUAUUCUGGCUGCCUGGA